rnacentral:rRNA from 1 species
UUAUGUGUUUUUUGUAAACACGGCGAACUGCUCAGUAACACGCGGAUAAUCUGCCCUCAGGUUUGGGAUAACCCCGGGAAACUGGGGAUAAUACCAAAUGUUUCAAGGUUGCUGGAAUGCUCUUUGAUUGAAAGCUUCGGUGCCUGAGGAUGAGUCUGCGGCCUAUCAGGUUGUAGUGGGUGUAAUGUACCUACUAGCCAGCGACGGGUACGGGUUGUGAGAGCAAGAGCCCGGAGAUGGAUUCUGAGACAUGAAUCCAGGCCCUACGGGGUGCAGCAGGCGCGAAACCUUUACAAUGCGCGAAAGCGCGAUAAGGAGACCCUGAGUGCUAGCACAUAGUGCUGGCUGUCCAGCUGUUUAAAAAGCAGUUGUUAGCAAGGGCCGGGCAAGACCGGUGCCAGCCGCCGCGGUAACACCGGCGGCCCGAGUGGUAACCGAUUUUAUUGGGCUUAAAGCGUUCGUAGCCGGUUUAGUAAGUUUCUUAGGAAAUCUAGCAGCUUAACUGUUAGACGUCUAAGAGAUACUGCUAUGACUUGGGACCGGGAGAGGUAGGAGGUACUCCAAGGGUAGGGGUGAAAUCUUGUAAUCCCUGGGGGACCAUCGAUGGCGAAGGCAUCCUACCAGAACGGGUUCGACGGUGAGGGACGAAAGCUGGGGGCACAAACCGGAUUAGAUACCCGGGUAGUCCCAGCUGUAAACGAUGCUCGCUAGGUGUCAGAUACGGUGCGUCCGUAUUUGGUGCCGUAGGGAAACCGUGAAGCGAGCCGCCUGGGAAGUACGGUCGCAAGGCUGAAACUUAAAGGAAUUGGCGGGGGAGCACUACAACGGUGA